rnacentral:tRNA from 1 species
UUAGAGUUAGUUUAUUAAAACAUUAGUUUGUGGUACUAAAAAUGCUUUUUAUU